UUUUCCUCCUUCAACCAAAUAAAAUUGUCCAACCUCGCAGCUUAUCGGUAAUAUCAACUUGUUCACUUUGAAGCAUAUAUUAUUUCCAUAAGCUAAACACAAACGAAGAAAUAUGUCUGCUUUUACUUUAAGAAGGCCGGUAUUUCUCUUAACAAUGAUUUACAUUUCUCAAAUCAAUUUUUCUACCGCACAACUGUUACAAGCCGAAUAUUUCGAUGUACGUUUUUCUGAUUACGCCGGUUGUAAAUUACCUUAUUAUAAUGGGAACGACAGCAUCUAUCUCUUCGACGGUUGUCUAGCACCAGGGCAAAAUAAAAUUCACCUGUUUACCAUCUCCAGCGAAACGAUUGAGUUUGUUGCACCCAUGACCGGUCUAGCUGUGAUGGUUAACAUCUUAGGUGACGAUUUCGGUAACAUGUAUUAUUUUAAUGAGCAAGAAGUUUUUACGUUUGAUCCAGUCGAGAAAAUAAGCACAUCAGUCACUAGGCUCUCGUCCAGAAUAGUUGACAGUCCGGUGUUUUGGGAUGACCAAAGUAACAAUACCAGGAUUUUCAUGUCUGGCAUGGGUUCCAGUGGUCGCUCUGUGUAUAACGUUGAACUUGAAUAUGGAAGCUAUGAAUAUGUGGCAACGUUUUCGAUGCCGAUUUAUGGAUCCGCGUCAAGUCAGAUUGGGAACCACGUGUACCUUUUUGACUCAGGGGAAACGACAAACAGACAAGCGUUCAAGUUAGAGUUGGACACUCUUCGUGCCGGGCUAGUUGGGCAGCCAACUCUUCCGGGUUAUAACUUACGACCUAACUCCGUCUAUGAUGGAUCAUUCAUCUACAUCUUGGGAGGACAUUCAACACUAAAUGGAACUGAUCCUGUUUACACCCACGGAAUUUAUGAAUUUGAUCCUACCACAUCUGACAAUAGAUUCAUCCCAGUUGCUGAUCUUCCACUACGAAAUUCAGCCAGCAUCUUUAAUUUUGCUCCUGCCAUGGUGUUUGUACCACACGUGAACAGAAUUUAUUGCUUUGGUGGGCACGAAAGUACGGACUCAUCAGUCAUAUCACUCAACACUGUAUUCUACAUCGACUUGACCCCUUUAAGGCGAUAAGAGUGCAGUUUAACUAAUUGCUAGAUUUGACUUGGCGUUAUACAAAUUUAUAUAUUACCCGCUAGCGGGAGCUUAGAAAUUAAAAAUCUUAUAACACUAAUUCUAUAAGUUCUUCUUUCUAAAAAUUGUAAUUAUAAAAUUUGAGAAAUUAUAGGGAUUCCAAAUAAUCAUAAAAAUUUUGCAAGUGCGCUACACGAGCGUUUGAGAACUCUAUAUUCCAAGAUAUCUAUAACAUGGACAAUCACAACUGAAAUAAUGUAAUUUAAUAGAGUCUCUUUAAUAGAGUUUAAGGAACUCUCGUAUGCUACCUUUUCGGAAUUCAAGUAGUGCGGACGGGAUGAAAUAGAAGAUAAAACUCAGCAAUCAUCAUGUUUGCCUCCAUAGAGAGAUUGGAUGCUUUGUGGCGUAAUCAAAAUCAUACCGAACUUGGGUUAUCUUCCAGAUAUUUCAUCCCGUCCGCACUUCUAAAAUGCGGAUUUCUAAGAUUACAUAAAUUAUAAAUACAUAUUUUUCUACGAAGGUCAAAUCUGUUCCCGUGAGUGAUACGAAAUUUCAAUAUUUUUUAUAUAGUAUAAUAUAAUAAUUUAUUCUUGAAAAUUCUUACAAGGCUCAUAGCUCAUGGAAUUACAGGUCAGGUUACAUCCUAAAGCAUUAAAUAACGGAUCAAUAAUACUACAAUGACAAUUAUUUCGUUGCAAAAUUAUCCUGCGGGUUCUCGCUUAAAAACAUUCUACUAAAUAAGGAAUAUUUUUCGGGUAUUUCGGGUGGCAUUUACAUAUGUAGAUAAUAUGUACCUAUUUACAUAAUAUGUAAAUAUGUACAUUUUGGGCCACUGAAAAUUAAUAAUCAACCAAUCCGCUUAUUUAAUUAAGACCUCGCUGGUUAAUUUUAAAAUGGCAUACUUAAUUGAGCAGAUUAAUAAUUAUUAAUCUGCUCAAUUAAGUAUGCCAUUUUUCGCGAUUUUACCACCAGUAACCAUUUUAAUUGGUAGAUAAUUAAUUAAGUGUUACUUAACAUAUAGAUUUUUAGUAAAUAUUAGUUAUACCAUAACAUAAAUUGUAUUCGAUCUUGUUAAAUAUUAUUGACACAUUUGAGAGCUUUACUAGUUUAUUAACGAAUAAAGAUGACGAUUACAAA